GCCUGGGUGGCUCAGUUGGUUAAGUGUCUGACUUCGGCUCAGGUCAUGAUCUCAUGGUUUGUGGGUUCGAGCCCCACAUCGGGCU
rnacentral:tRNA from 1 species